UGNNGUAGCGGUGAAAUGCAUAGAUAUCACGCAGAACUCCGAUUGCGAAGGCAGCUUGCCAAGCCAUAACUGACACUGAAGCACGAAAGCGUGGGUAUCAAACAGGAUUAGAUACCCUGGUAGUCCACGCAGUAAACGAUGAUUACUAGGAGUUUGCGAUAAAAUGUAAGCUCUACAGCGAAAGCGUUAAGUAAUCCACCUGGGGAGUACGCCGGCAACGGUGAAACUCAAAGGAAUUGACGGGGGCCCGCACGAGCGGAGGAACAUGUGGUUUAAUUCGAUGAUACGCGAGGAACCUUACCCGGGUUUGAACGCAGUCCGACCGCCGAUGAAAGUCGGCUUCUAGCAAUAGCGGAUUGCGAGGUGCUGCAUGGUUGUCGUCAGCUCGUGCCGUGAGGUGUCGGCUUAAGUGCCAUAACGAGCGCAACCCUUGCCGUUAGUUACUAACAAGUUAUGUUGAGGACUCUAGCGGGACUGCCAGCGUAAGCUGUGAGGAAGGCGGGGAUGACGUCAAAUCAGCACGGCCCUUACAUCCGGGGCGACACACGUGUUACAAUGGCGUGGACAAAGAGCAGCCACUUGGCGACAAGGAGCUAAUCUCCAAACCACGUCUCAGUUCGGAUCGGAGUCUGCAACUCGACUCCGUGAAGCUGGAUUCGCUAGUAAUCGCGCAUCAGCCAUGGCGCGGUGAAUACGUUCCCGGGCCUUGUACACACCGCCCGUCAAGCCAUGGGAGCCGGNNNNACCUGAAGUCCGUAACCGCGAGGAUCGGCCUAGGGUAAAACUGGUGACUGGGGCUAAGUCGUAACAAGGUAACCA
rnacentral:rRNA from 1 species